CUGGGUGCAGAUCUGUUUGCACAGUCUGGGUGCAGAUCUAUUCCCAGGCUUUCUUUGGUCUGGAGAAUGUAGCCCAGGCUGUGGAUGAGGUAGCUGCCACUGCUAGUAGCUAUUCGGAUUUUCUUUGUGCAUUUUGUGUUCCCAUCGAAUCAAGAUCACCGUGCUGUUCGUCUAAUGAACCGUGUCCUGAUCUUGAGAUUAAAAAAGAAGGAUCGAGUACACAUGUAGUUCUGAAUAGUUUUCGAUAAACUGAAACUUGGUUGGUUUGUGUAUCCGAUCUCUAAAAAAAUGGUUUGGAGGGAUAGUAGCUCACUGGUGAAACUACUAAAAUCUUUCUCUUGGAUAUUUUGAGCAUAAGUUGGCACAAAGUGUAUCUAGGCAUGUAAAACGUAAUACUCUGAAAUGAGGAGCUGUAUGGUUCAGUAAAUACUCCUUCUGGUGAGUGUCCUUGCCGUUCAUCCUUAUCCAGGUGAAUCUUUUUUUUCCCAGUUAUUCUUCUGUCCAUAAUCUCAGGCCAAAUGAAAGUAUAUGUUCUUGUCUUCCAGCAUUUCAUUGCAUACCAUAGAUGAUUGUCUUGUCUCUUUCUUGGUUCACAUUGACAACUGCUUGUUGCUUUGUUGCAAAGUACAUAUUUAUCUCAAAGUUAUAUUUUAAAUAUCAGCUAGAACUUGUGUUUUCAAGAAAGGAUAAACAUGUUUUGGAAAUUGUUAAUUCCGUGUACCUUGUUUUUGUAUAAAAAAUGUCAGCAUAAUUGCAAAGAUGACACAGUUCCGUGACAUGGAAUUGAAAGCUGAUAUUUGUUUUUCCAAACUCCAGUAUGAUGAGUGUUUUAUGGAUUCUGAUGUCGUUGUUGAGAGGGAAUGGAGCUUUCACAGGGAGCUGGCUAGAUGAAUUGUAUUCUGUAGCUACACAGGGAGCUUUUAUAUAUUGGCCAAUGCAUUCUUUUAGCAGAUUAAUAUCGUAUUCUAGAGUUCGUAGCCAACAAGCAUGAACAUCUGUAGAAAACAUCGAUAUCUUUUCUUUCUGCAAAACAUCAGUAGAAAACAUGUGUUAAGACAUAAGCAUGUCUUAACAUAUGGGAUAUUGAUUUGGUUCCGUUAUCUUACUUGCAGCUUUUAUUUUCAAGUUUCGACCAUAACAUGCUAUACUAAGCAGCAACCAUCUUCUGAGCAACUUUUACUUGAAGUCUUGGACCAUAAUGUUGUACUCAUCAGAAUCAUGGGCAGGUCGACAUCAACCUAUUUUUGAUGCUGCUUGCUUACUCAACAUGUAGUAUAUUAGUAGCUUAUGUAAUGUUAAAAUAAUUAUUAUAGAUGCAGUAACAUGUAUUAGUGCAUA